AGCUCCAAUAGCGUAUAUUAAAGUUGCUGCAGUUAAAAAGCUCGUAGUUGGAUCUCGGGUUCGGGUCGGCGGUCCGCCCCUCAGGGGUUUCGCGACUGCUCGGUUUUUCUCCCGAUCCUACAUGCCGGUUCAUUCAUCUCCCCGUCGGUGCUCUUGGUUGAGUGCCCGGGGCGGCCGGGACGUUUACUUUGAAAAAAUUAGAGUGUUCAAAGCAGGCCCUUUGCGAGCCUGAAUAAUGGUGCAUGGAAUAAUGGAAGAGGACCUCGGUUCUAUUUUGUUGGUUUUCGAGAGAUCGAGGUAAUGAUUAAGAGGGACGGCCGGGGGCAUUUGUAUUGCGGCGUUAGAGGUGAAAUUCUUGGAUCGUCGCAAGACAAACAGCAGCGAAAGCAUUUGCCAAGAAUGUUUUCA
rnacentral:rRNA from 1 species